GUGUUUGCUUCAGCAUUAUAUAUACUAAAAUUGGAAUGAUACAGAAAGGAUUAUCAUGGCCACUGCACAAGGAUAACAUGCAAAUCUGUGAAGCAUUCCUUAUAUUU
rnacentral:snRNA from 1 species